CAAAUUAGAGCUUGUUUUAAAGUAUUUUCUUUACCUUGAAAAGAAAUUAAUAUGAUUAAUUAAUUUGA